rnacentral:SRP_RNA from 1 species
UCAUGCUAAGCGGGGAGAUAGCGGUGCCCUGAACCUGCAAUCCGCUAUAGCAGGGCUUAAUUCCUUCUUGGAGGUCUUAUUUUUUCUGGGUUUAAGAUUUAAGUAAGGGACAUUGAAGGUCGGCUCCUGUGCGACAGAGAAUUACGAACUCCGUCAGAUCCGGAAGGAAGCAGCGGUAAGUAACCAACUCUGGGCGCCGCAGUGUUUCGUCUGGCUGGAGUCACCUACUUGAUAAUUGCCAAGAAAGAAAGAACGAAAAGAAGGUGUAUGA